GGGUGGGGUGUAGCACAACCAUGGACGUAAGCACCAGACGGCAGUGUUGCGCUGAAAUUAAUCCAAACACUUCCCACCGAAACGGCGCAGGCGAAAAUAAAUAGAAACACACAAAGUGCAACGUAGACAGAGAAACAAUCCCAACGGGACCGGUAUCGUUUGAAAAUGUCAAAUUUGCACACUGCAAUCUGGGCGAGCAGAAUCUCCCGUUUGCCAUGCAACACGCUAAAAGCUGUGCUACAAAUGUCAAACUACACGGGUUGCAAUCAAAAUAAGGACGAACGAAACAAGUGUAAUUUUAAAGUUCUUCGUUUUGUGCUUUAGAAUCAUCUUCAUUCGAGAGUCCUCUUCAAACUAGUGCUAGAAUUGACGAAUGAGAUUCUAUCCUACGUCUGUUUGAGUUUAAGUUUGAGUCAUCCAAGAGAAUUCUCUUCAGCAGCGUCCUUCGGUGGGGAAGAUUAAUUUUACAGACGACUUCGUGAGAUGGGAAACGCAAAAAUAUGAUGAUGAAAUACACGAUGAAGAGUGAGGACGAAGCCAAGACGUUGCUAUACAGCGGUUCAGUUAAUGUAAGUGAAAUUUCAUUCCACUUUAUGUUAUUUUGUUACGAAUAGAAGAAUA